rnacentral:rRNA from 1 species
CAGUAGCCCGGUAAUACGUAGGUCCCGAGCGUUGUCCGGAUUUAUUGGGCGUAAAGCGAGCGCAGGCGGUUAGAUAAGUCUGAAGUUAAAGGCUGUGGCUUAACCAUAGUUCGCUUUGGAAACUGUCAAACUUGAGUGCAGAAGGGGAGAGUGGAAUUCCAUGUGUAGCGGUGAAAUGCGUAGAUAUAUGGAGGAACACCGGUGGCGAAAGCGGCUCUCUGGUCUGUAACUGACGCUGAGGCUCGAAAGCGUGGGGAGCGAACAGGAUUAGAGACCCGAGUAGUCCCUGUCUCUUAUACAC